UACGUAGGGUGCGAGCGUUAAUCGGAAUUACUGGGCGUAAAGCGUGCGCAGGCGGUUUUGUAAGACAGAUGUGAAAUCCCCGGGCUUAACCUGGGAACUGCGUUUGUGACUGGACAGCUAGAGUAUGGCAGAGGGGGGUGGAAUUCCACGUGUAGCAGUGAAAUGCGUAGAGAUGUGGAGGAACACCGAUGGCGAAGGCAGCCCCCUGGGCCAAUACUGACACUCAUGCACGAAAGCGUGGGGAGCAAACAGG
rnacentral:rRNA from 1 species